rnacentral:rRNA from 1 species
CCUACGGGUGGCUGCAGUGAGGAAUAUUGGUCAAUGGGCUUACGCCUGAACCAGCCAAGUCGCGUGAGGGAAUAAUGCCCUACGGGUCGUAAACCUCUUUUGCCGGGGAGCAAGGGGCGCUACGUGUCGCGUCCCGGAGAGUACCCGGAGAAAAAGCAUCGGCUAACUCCGUGCCAGCAGCCGCGGUAAUACGGAGGAUGCGAGCGUUAUCCGGAUUUAUUGGGUUUAAAGGGUGCGUAGGCGGGCUGUCAAGUCAGCGGUAAAAAUGCGGGGCUCAACCCCGUUCGGCCGUUGAAACUGGGGGCCUUGAGUGGGCGAGAAGAAUGCGGAAUGCGUGGUGUAGCGGUGAAAUGCAUAGAUAUCACGCAGAACCCCGAUUGCGAAGGCGGCCUUCCGGCGCCCUACUGACGCUGAGGCACGAAAGUGCGGGGAUCGAACAGGAUUAGAUACCCGAGUAGUC